UGGCGCCCCAAUGUGGGACUCAAGAAUGGAGGACUUAGUGAGGUACACUGUUUGUGGGCCCAAAGUAGAAAAAGGAAAAGAAAAUAGAGGACCAUCAUGGGAGCCUGCCAUGCCGCUGAACCUUGGUAAGUGAACAGCGAUUAUGGGACAAGAAAUUAGCCAGGAUGAGACUUUUGUUGAAAGUUUAGAAAAGCUUUAAAGACACAAAGGGUAAGAAAAAAAAAAACUUUAGCAACUGUGUCCACUAGGACAA
rfam:Cavia porcellus supercont2_24 genomic scaffold, whole genome shotgun sequence.